CCCGUGAAGGGGCGGAAUGAGGGAGGGAGGGAAGUGGGGGGAGGUUAACCCACCACGUGUGCCAGCCCCGGUGAUUCUCAGCUGCAGUAUUCACACUUAUUCAGGCCUCGGGGAGGGGGCGUCCAACGCCACGGCUUUUAUUUUUCACACCGAGAGAGGAGGAGCCGCAGGCGGAUUCAGGAAGACGCCUCCAUCAGAGAUGAGCAGCUUGGGCUCCAGGUUCUUCUCUGCCCCAGCUAAAAAUACACAAGAGCCCGGAGGCGUCACCUGGCGACACUGGAGGGACAGGAAGCCGCUCACCCACCGCGCUGCUGGCGGGUCUGCGGGACACGGUCCCUCGGACAGGACGCAGCGUCCCGGCCUCCCCGGCCUGCAGCGCCGGGGCCACCGCGGCGGGACAGCGCAGCUGGGGACCGGCACGCGGGGUCUCUGCCGCUGUCUGCAGCUGCCGCACAGCCGGAGGCCGCAGGAGGAAGAGGGAGUUCCCGAGCCCGAGCAGGCCAAGCGUCAGCACAACACCUGGGCAAUCUGGCAACAGCUGUUUGAACCUGGAGUGGAUGGGGAGACUGGAGAGACGCGGCAGAGAGCAGAGUCUGCUGCCCAGGAGGGGAUCCCCAACGACAACCGCAGAAGGCGGUGCCCUGACACAGGCCGACUAAGAGUCUCUCACCGAGCAGUCCCGUCCCCUGGGCUCCUCCUGACAGCAACAUUUCCCUGAGAUUUGAUGAACUCGAACGUUUUGAAAAUCAUCAGUCAGGCCUAGGUAUGGCUGCCACACCUGGACCCGCAGCACUUGGAGGCCGAGGCAGGAAGAUCCGGGUUGGAGUCCAAACUGGGAAACGGGUGGACCAGGGGGUAACCAGUGCCGGAAAAGCCCGGGGACACCUGUUUCCCAGCCCAGCUUUAUGACAUCCCAUCUGGGAAGUUCUUCAAAGGCCGCCGAUGGGAGAGAUCCCCGUGCCACACCCUGGAGCUUUCUCUGCCUCCAGGACCCCAGCAUGAGACUCAACCUGCCUCCACGCUCCAGCCCAACAGCUUCACCUUUCCACCUCUGUCCCCUUUGAGCAGCCAGAGUCAACUCUAACCCUAACCCUAACCCUACGAAGUUUUUUGCAUGAACCCUAUUACACUAAAUGAUUUAUUCAGAUGUCUUAUGAUCUCUGUCCUCUGCUCUUAACAGUGAGCUACUACAUGCCAUACUGGAAGUUACUUUUGCAUCUUCAGAAUUGUUGUAAUUUUAAAAUCCAUCACUAAAGUGCUUAGUGAUGUACAAUACACUUGAUUUGAUGACCUUCAGGCUCUUCCCUGUGUGCCUGUGUUAUUCUGUAACCAAUCUCUCUUCCAUACCUCACCAGAAAAGUAUGAACUGGCACUUCUCACCUUCUGUGUCUCUCUUUCUCUCUCUGUCUGUCUCUCACACACAUGCAUAUUCAUAUGCACCAUCAGUAUUGUUUUCAUUUAAAUAAAUAUAUGGCUUUUUCAUACUGUA